rnacentral:hammerhead_ribozyme from 1 species
AUCCAGCUGACAAGUCCCAGAUAGGACGAAAUAGGCAUCCUGAAU